rnacentral:rRNA from 1 species
GCUCAGGAUGAACGCUAGCUACAGGCUUAACACAUGCAAGUCGAGGGGCAUCAGGAAGAAAGCUUGCUUUCUUUGCUGGCGACCGGCGCACGGGUGAGUAACACGUAUCCAACCUGCCCUUUACUCGGGGAUAGCCUUUCGAAAGAAAGAUUAAUACCCGAUAGUAUAAUGAUUCCGCAUGGUUUCAUUAUUAAAGGAUUCCGGUAAAGGAUGGGGAUGCGUUCCAUUAGGUUGUUGGUGAGGUAACGGCCCACCAAGCCUUCGAUGGAUAGGGGUUCUGAGAGGAAGGUCCCCCACAUUGGAACUGAGACACGGUCCAAACUCCUACGGGAGGCAGCAGUGAGGAAUAUUGGUCAAUGGGCGCUAGCCUGAACCAGCCAAGUAGCGUGAAGGAUGAAGGCUCUAUGGGUCGUAAACUUCUUUUAUAUAAGAAUAAAGUGCAGUAUGUAUACUGUUUUGUAUGUAUUAUAUGAAUAAGGAUCGGCUAACUCCGUGCCAGCAGCCGCGGUAAUACGGAGGAUCCGAGCGUUAUCCGGAUUUAUUGGGUUUAAAGGGAGCGUAGGUGGACUGGUAAGUCAGUUGUGAAAGUUUGCGGCUCAACCGUAAAAUUGCAGUUGAUACUGUCAGUCUUGAGUACAGUAGAGGUGGGCGGAAUUCGUGGUGUAGCGGUGAAAUGCUUAGAUAUCACGAAGAACUCCGAUUGCGAAGGCAGCUCACUGGACUGCAACUGACACUGAUGCUCGAAAGUGUGGGUAUCAAACAGGAUUAGAUACCCUAGUAGUCCACACAGUAAACGAUGAAUACUCGCUGUUUGCGAUAUACAGUAAGCGGCCAAGCGAAAGCAUUAAGUAUUCCACCUGGGGAGUACGCCGGCAACGGUGAAACUCAAAGGAAUUGACGGGGGCCCGCACAAGCGGAGGAACAUGUGGUUUAAUUCGAUGAUACGCGAGGAACCUUACCCGGGCUUAAAUUGCAGUGGAAUGAUGUGGAAACAUGUCAGUGAGCAAUCACCGCUGUGAAGGUGCUGCAUGGUUGUCGUCAGCUCGUGCCGUGAGGUGUCGGCUUAAGUGCCAUAACGAGCGCAACCCUUAUCUUUAGUUACUAACAGGUUAUGCUGAGGACUCUAGAGAGACUGCCGUCGUAAGAUGUGAGGAAGGUGGGGAUGACGUCAAAUCAGCACGGCCCUUACGUCCGGGGCUACACACGUGUUACAAUGGGGGGUACAGAAGGCAGCUAGCGGGUGACCGUAUGCUAAUCCCAAAAGCCUCUCUCAGUUCGGAUCGAAGUCUGCAACCCGACUUCGUGAAGCUGGAUUCGCUAGUAAUCGCGCAUCAGCCACGGCGCGGUGAAUACGUUCCCGGGCCUUGUACACACCGCCCGUCAAGCCAUGGGAGCCGGGGGUACCUGAAGUACGUAACCGCAAGGAUCGUCCUAGGGUAAAACU